rnacentral:rRNA from 1 species
AGUCACUGACAUUAGAUACCCCGGUAGUCCAGGGUGUAAACGCUGCAGACUUGGUGUUGGAGGCCCUUUGGGGGCAUUCAGUGCCGGAGAGAAGUUGUUAAGUCUGCUACUUGGGGAGUACGUCCGCAAGGAUGAAACUUAAAGGAAUUGGCGGGGGAGCACCGCAACGGGAGGAGCGUGCGGUUUAAUUGGAUUCAACACCGUAAACUCACCAGGGAAGACUGUUACAUGAAAGCCGAGAUGAAGACUCUGCUAGAUUUUCAG